GGGGAUGAGGCUCAAGUGGUAGUGCGCUCGCCUGGCAUGCGUGCAGCCUGAGUUCUAACCUCAGCACCACA
rnacentral:tRNA from 1 species